GCCUAGGAAAGAAAACUGUGCCAGAAACAAGCUGUUUGUGAUGCUGGGGAACUGGAGGCUGCUGGGGGAUAUGAGGCAUGCCUGGGUUACAGAACUAGAACAGGUCUGGCUCCUGCUUCCCAGUCAGCUGAAAUUCCACGGGAUGUGGCUUCUCUGCUUUUCCUCUCCAGUCCUCCAGAGAUGAGACUUUCAUACUCCAAAUACAACCACUUCAGAGAGAAGGCACAGGCAGACUUCCCCACACCCAUUUUCUCCAAACAAGCAAUUGCCUGAAAGUCCUGUGCAACCUCAGACCUGGCUUGGACUGUGCUAGCAUCUGCAGGGAAUAAUGCUCUGAACUGGCAAUACAGAUAAAGGAAGAGGAAAAAAUUUACCAUGUGGGCAGAAUACAAGCAACUGAUGUUGCGGGAGCCACUGAGUGGUUCCUAUAGAGUCUGAUGGAUGGAUGUGGAGACAAAGCUGAAAUCUUCUGAAGCAUGUCAUGGUGAGCCCAUAACGACACUCAUCCUAUGCGAAGAUUUCUUCAGAUGUCUUCUCAGUAGGUGUAAUCUUAACUGUGGCUGUUGUAUACGUGGUGUCCUCCUUGCAUUGAGUUUUUGGAGGAGACAAGGGAACCUGCAUCCAGAUGAUAUUUUCCUCAGUCAUUUCUUUCUUAUUCUAGAUUACCUAUACACAUUUUCUAUUGUGAUAAAGGGUGAGAAGGACUGAGUCCCUACAUAGUUCUAGUUUGAGGCUGCUUUCUGUCCAAAAGGUGGGUGAGGAAGUAUGAAGAAGUGUAUUUGAGAUGCUGAAAAAGGAAAGUGAUUCAGUCUUAUGGUCUUAGGAGUAGUAAAGGAAAAUGUAGUCUUAUUAUUUUCUGUUCACUUUGCAUUCUUUUUGUAAAGCACCACAGAAUAUCCUCAACGGAUUUGGAUCUAGUGACUUUGUCUUCAAUAAACAGUGCUGCCCCAGAGGAAUAAAGAUGCAUGUCUUGGUACUGAUAUUCACCAUAA